rnacentral:tRNA from 1 species
GCCGGCAUGGUGGAAUGGCAGACACGGCAGACUCAAAAUCUGCUGGGGGUAACCCCGUGAGAGUUCAAGUCUCUCCGCCGGCA